rnacentral:rRNA from 1 species
UUUUUGGAGAGUUUGAUCUUGGCUCAGGACGAACGCUGGCGGCGUGCCUAAUACAUGCAAGUCGAGCGCUGGAAGCUAAUUUCAUCCCUUCGGGAUGAAAUUAGUGGAAAGAGCGGCGGACGGGUGAGUAACACGUGGGCAACCUACCUAUAAGACUGGGAUAACUCGCGGAAACGUGAGCUAAUACCGGAUAAUACUUUUUAUUGCAUAGUAAGGAGUUUGAAAGGCGGCGUAAGCUGUCACUUAUAGAUGGGCCCGCGGCGCAUUAGCUAGUUGGUGAGGUAAAGGCUCACCAAGGCAACGAUGCGUAGCCGACCUGAGAGGGUGAUCGGCCACAC